ensembl:lncRNA
AUUUGAAUAGGGUUUCAGACCAGGGCCGUAGGGACCUAUUUGAAUAGGGUUUCAGACCAGGGCCGUAGGGACCUAUUGGAAUAGGGUUUCAGACUGUUGGAACUAGUAACAUAAGCAUUUUGCUGCACCUGCUAUAACACUUCCAAAUCUGUGCAAGCAACCAAUACACUUUGGUUGAUUUGGAAAGUAGUGCACUAUAAUAGGGAAUAGGGUUCCAUAGGGCCCUGGUCUAAAGUAGUUCACUAUAUAUAGGGAAUAGGGUGCCAUAGGGCUCUGGUCUAUAGUAGUGCCCUAUAUAGGGAAUAGGGUGCCAUAGGGCUCUGGUCUAUAGUAGUGCCCUAUAUAGGGAGCCGUUUCAGGCGCUGCCAGAGUCUUCAAAGCCCAUGUCCCCCAGAGGGUUUCUGAAGGGUAGGUCCAGGAGUUUUUCCUGACCCCUCUGUAACCUGCAGGAUAAACUCUAUGCCAUAGAACGGACCUCCCAAUUCAAGUCAAUAAUGGCAUACUGGGUGUAGAGGUUCCAUUUUUAUAUUCCAGGCCUGACCGAUAAAGAGCUGUUGGCUAUAUGUUUUCCUUUUUCAAAUCUCUCAUCUAUGACCUCUAGGUGUUUCAAACCUGUCUUCUACAACCUCUAGGUGUUAUAAACCUCUCCUCUACAACCUCUAGGUGUUGUAAACCUCUCAUCUAUGACCUCUAGGUGUUGUAAACCUCUCCUCUACAACCUCUAGGUGUUAUAAACCUCUCCACAACCUCUAGGUGUUUCAAACCUCUCCAGGACCUCUAGGUGUUUCAAACCUCUCCAGGACCUCUAGGUGUUUCAAACCUUUCUAGGACCUCUAGGUGUUUCAAACCUUUCUAGGACCUCUAGGUGUUUCAAACCUUUCUAGGACCUCUAGGUGUUUCAAACCUCUCCUCUAGGUGUUCCAAACCUCUCCUCUAGGACCUCUUGUUGCAGCCCUGACCUAGCACACUUGAUUCAAAUAGUCAAGGGCUUGAUGAUUGGUUGACAAGUUGAAUCAGGUGUUCUAGCUCUGGAAUAGUUCAAAUACAUGGAACGGCUGGAGAACCCAGAGGAGAGGUUUGAGAACGGCUGGAGAACCCAGAGGAGAGGUUUGAGAAUGGCUGGAGAACCCAGAGGAGAGGUUUCAGAACGGCUGGAGAACCCAGAGGAGAGGUUUGAGAACGGCUGGAGAACCCAGAGGAGAGGUUUGAGAACGGCUGGAGGUCCCAGAGGAGAGGUUUGUGAAUGGCUGGAGGUCCCGGGGGAGAGGUUUGAGAACGGCUGGAGGUCUCGGAGGAGAGUUUUGGAACGGCUGGAGAACCCGGAGGAGAGGUUUGGAAAAGGCUGAGCUAUAUGUUUGCCAAACAACUUUACAUGUCUGUUUCACACACAGGAAGGUAUUGCAGUUGAAUCACAAUUCAUGUUGAUUAAAACAAAUGAUAAUGAAA